ensembl:lncRNA
CCAUUUUGGGUCCAUUUUGUGCAAUUUUGGGUCCUCUUUGGGACCACCACUGUGUGGCCAUUUUGGGACCGCCAUUUUGGGUCCAAUUUUUGCCAUUUUGGGUCCACUUUGGGUCCAAUUUGUGCCAUUUUGGGUCGCCAUCGGGACCACCAUUGGGUGGCCAUUUUGAGACCGCCAUUUUGGAACCAUUUUGGGUCCAAUUUGUGCCAUUUUGGGUCCUCUUCGAGACCACCAUUGGGUGGCCAUUUUGAGACCGCCAUUUUGAGUCCGUUUUGGGUCAUUUUGGGUCGAUUUUGCGCGAUUUUGGGUCAUUUUGGGUCCUUUUCGAGACCACCAUUGGGUGGCCAUUUUGAGACCGCCAUUUUGAGUCCAUUUUGGGUCAUUUUGGGUCAAUUUUGCGCGAUUUUGGGUCAUUUUGGGUCCUUUUCGGGACCACCAUUGGGUGGCCAUUUUGAGACCGCCAUUUUGAGUCCAUUUUGGGUCAUUUUGGGUCAAUUUUGCGCGAUUUUGGGUCAUUUUGGGUCCUUUUCGGGACCACCAUUGGGUGGCCAUUUUGAGACCGCCAUUUUGGGUCCAUUAUGGGUCCAUUUUGGGUCCGAUCCGUUCCAUUUGGGGUCAUUCCCCCCCCCCGUCCCCCCCAUCCCCAAUCACGGCGCUCCCCAUCAUAAAAACCAUCUGUCCUUUUAAUCGUUACGUCGUUAACGAGGUAUCAAAAUUAAUUGGGGGGGUUGGGGGGGGGUCGGGGGUGGGGGUCACAACACCACGAACACGGGGGGGGGGGGGGGGGGGGGGGGGGGGGAGGUGGUAUUUUUGGGGUCGUUUUGCCUUUUUUUGGGGUUUUUUUUAGGAAUCGUCCUCUCCGUUGGCGCUGUCCCGGUCGUCCUCCCCCUCCUCCGCCUCUUUCUCGUCUCCUUUGAUGGAUUCCAGCUGGGGAAUUCAUUAAUUAGUGCUUAAUUAGGGGUUAAUUAAGGGCUUCGUCAGCCACUGCGGCGGUUCGUUUUCCCAUUUCUCGCCUUUUUUCACCCAUUUUUCCCACUGUUUUUCGUCCCCGAUCCAUUUCCUCCUCAUCGCAUUCAUUCCUCCCCAAUUAAUUUCCCAUUUCUCCCUAAUUAAUCCCCCACUUCUCCCUAAUUAAUUACCUUCCCAUACCCCCAAUUCAUCUCCCACUUCCCCCUAAUUAAAAUUUCCCACUUCUCCCUAAUUAAUUCCCUACUUCCCCCUAAUUAAUCACCUUCCC